rnacentral:lncRNA from 1 species
GAUAAUUAUUUGUAACUGAACUGUCGAUAUCAGCCGAUUGCUACUGAUGACAGUAUUCCUAGACUUUAAUGCAUUUCACAAAUGCACAUGUAUAUUUCUGUGUGUGUGUGUGUGUGUGUGUGUCCAGUAGGAAUAUCAAGAGAACAUCAGCCCUUGUUCUAGAUAGUCUUUGAUAAUGCAUAUAAUAUAUGAUGAUACUGUGAUUCACUUUAGUUUAGCAAAGGACUCUGACUUAUCUUUCCACUUAAUGGAGUGUCUUGUCCUUGUAAUGUUUUGCCAGCAAAACACACUCGGACAACCAGAUCCUUCUACGGCAAAGCUUUAUUGCUUACUUCUCAGGAAGACCCUGAACCCGGAAAAUGGAGCUGCUUAAAUACCCCUCUGUGUGACGUGUAAGCUCCUGAUUAACUGCUCACUAUCAGCCCAGAUGACGCCACGGGACAGGCAAGGGCACAAGGAAUGGAAAAAUACCCUAGCACAUGCGCAGACUAUUUGUUUACCAGUUAGAACACUGGAUAUCAGCACCAUCUUGUAAUGGCGAUUGCAAGGGCGGCUCCUCACAGGAGUGCCUCCUCUUUGGAGGCAAGUUUAAUCAGGGAUGGGGAAGACCUGCUGGGAAUACUGAGCUCAGACGUAAGGCUGAGGGCCAGGAGCAGGAGUGGGGAUGCUGCAGACACAGUCUCUUGCAGAAAGUGGCCUGUGCACCUCUUUCUGUAGACCUCAAGCUUCCCUGGAUGAUUUACCGUAGUUAAUGGUCUAUAUUAAUAAAUGCUGCUAUUUACAGUAUAUUGACACACAAAUGUCUGUUCAGUACAGACAUGGGCUUUUUAGAAAGUAUUUUCCAGCCUUCAAUUACUGAACCAGCAGAUGUGAAGACUCACAAAUGUAGAUGGGCAACUGUUGGUCAUUCUUUAUCUGCUCCUCUGUCAUCCCAGAAUUACUCUCUCUCCCUCUCCCCUCCCCAUCCCCCUCCCCACCCCCUCCCUCUUCAUACAGAGGAGAUGCAGAGAAGUGUGUGCUUUGUAAAUCUUUAGAAUGGUUUUGGUAUGGGUUUUUACACUAUCCUCCAUCUUGUCUCCUUCCCAUAACCUCAGUGGUCACAGGUAUCCUGUGAAGAACAUCUCUGGGCUUCAGUGUGGAGACUUCCUCAGAUUCUAGGCAAGGCUAAUUGGUUCUCUUGAAGAUCAAACCUUCCCUUUGGGACAGUUGCUAGUCUACUAAAGAAUGACAAAAAGUUAGGCAAAGUCAAGGAGUAAUUAUUUUGCCUGGAUUGGCUAUUUCUAGGUGGCACUGAACAUUCCAGAGUUACAAGGUGUGUGCUACCUUCUAUGACAGAUCAUUUACACACAUACAACACACACACACACU